rnacentral:rRNA from 1 species
AGGGGAGGGCAAGUCGUAACAUGGUAAGUGUACCGGAAGGUGCACUUGGAUCAAACCUCAGGGUGUGGCUGAGACAGUCAAGCAUCUCCCUUACACCGAGAAGACAUCCAUGCAAGUUGGAUCACCCUGAGCCAAACAGCUAGCUUAUAACACCAAAAUUAACUUACUUAUAUAAAUAACAAAACAUAAAACUAAACACACAAUUAAACCAUUUUACCGCCUUAGUAUGGGAGACAGAAAAGGUUCUUUAAGCAAUAGAAAAAGUACCGCAAGGGAAAGCUGAAAGAGAAAUGAAACAACUCAUAUAAGCACAAAAAAGCAGAGACUAAACCUCGUACCUUUUGCAUCAUGAUUUAGCCAGUAAUAUUUAAGCAAAGAGACCUUUAGUUUAAGACCCCGAAACCAAGUGAGCUACCCCGAGACAGCCUUAUGGGCCAACCCGUCUCUGUGGCAAAAGAGUGGGAAGAGCUCCGGGUAGAGGUGACAGACCUACCGAACUUGGUGAUAGCUGGUUGCCUAAGAAAUGAAUAGAAGUUCAGCCUCGUUUUCCCCAAACUAAUCAAGAAAUACCUAAAACUAAAACAAGAGAAAAACACGAGAGUUAGUUAAAGGGGGUACAGCCCCUUUAACCAAGGACACAACCUUACACAGGAGGAUAAGGAUCAUACUUUAUAAAACCCGCCGUUUUAGUAGGCCUAAAAGCAGCCACCUGAACAGAAAGCGUUAAG